rnacentral:rRNA from 1 species
GACGAACGCUGGCGGCGUGCCUAAUACAUGCAAGUAGAACGCUGAAGGAGGAGCUUGCUCUUCUGGAUGAGUUGCGAACGGGUGAGUAACGCGUAGGUAACCUGCCUGGUAGCGGGGGAUAACUAUUGGAAACGAUAGCUAAUACCGCAUGAUAGUAGAUGUUGCAUGACAUUUGCUUAAAAGGUGCAAUUGCAUCACUACCAGAUGGACCUGCGUUGUAUUAGCUAGUUGGUGAGGUAACGGCUCACCAAGGCAACGAUACAUAGCCGACCUGAGAGGGUGAUCGGCCACACUGGGACUGAGACACGGCCCAGACCUCUACGGGAGGCAGCAGUAGGGAAUCUUCGGCAAUGGACGGAAGUCUGACCGAGCAACGCCGCGUGAGUGAAGAAGGUUUUCGGAUCGUAAAGCUCUGUUGUAAGAGAAGAACGAGUGUGAGAGUGGA